AACGAACGCUGGCGGCAUGCCUAACACAUGCAAGUCGAACGAGACCUUCGGGAGUAGUGGCGCACGGGUGCGUCGCGCGUCGGAAGCGUCCCUUAGGUUCGGAAUAACUCCCCGAAAGGGGUGAUAAUGCCGGAUAAUGUCUUCUAACCAAAGAUUUAUCGCACUUGGAUGGGCCCGCGUUGUAUAAGCUUGUUGGGAGGGUAAAAGCCUACCAAGGCGAGGAUCCAUAGCUGGGCUGAGAGGCUGAUCAGCCACUCUGGGACGGAGAAACGGCCGGGAAUCUUACGCGAUGCAGGAGUGGGUGAUAUUGCACAACGGCGGAAAUCCUGAUCCACUUCUGCUGGGUGAGCGCUGAAGUUCUUAGGGUUGUAAAGCUCUUUUAUCCGGGAUGAUAAUGACAGUACCGGGAGAAUAAGCCCCGGCUAACUCCGUG
rnacentral:rRNA from 1 species